CAAUGCGAGAAUUGAUUGUAAAUGUUAAUAAAUAAAAAAAAAAAUAUGUAUAUAUAUAAAACAAAACGACAAACGUUAAAUUUGCAUAUGUAUCUGGUUUGAUUCGCUUUUUUGCACAUUGAAUUUCCUAUCUCUCGGCCAAACACGCGUACAUGCAAUAAACACAUUCAUGCAUACGUCAUUCUUGCUGAAUUAUAUGCUACAUUAAACGCUACACGCUAUGUACACCAAAAACGUAUACUUAAGCUACUCUGGGCGUUCGGGGGUUAGCCUAAAAA